UACAGAGGUCUCAAGCGUUGUUCGGAUUCAUUGGGCGUAAAGGGUGCGUAGGCGGCGCGGUAAGUCGGGUGUGAAAUUUCGAGGCUUAACUUCGAAACUGCAUUCGAUACUGCCGUGCUUGAGGACUGGAGAGGAGACUGGAAUUCAUGGUGUAGCAGUGAAAUGCGUAGAGAUCAUGAGGAAGACCAGUGGCGAAGGCGGGGUCUCUGGACAGUUCCUGACGCUGAGGAGCGAAAGCGUGGGGAGCGAACAG
rnacentral:rRNA from 1 species